rnacentral:rRNA from 1 species
GAGUUUGAUCCUGGCUCAGGAUGAACGCUGGCGGCGUGCUUAACACAUGCAAGUCGAGCGAUGAAGUUUCCUUCGGGAAACGGAUUAGCGGCGGACGGGUGAGUAACACGUGGGUAACCUGCCUCAUAGAGUGGAAUAGCCUUCCGAAAGGAAGAUUAAUACCGCAUAAUGUUGAAAGUUGGCAUCAUUAUUCAACCAAAGGAGCAAUCCGCUAUGAGAUGGACCCGCGGCGCAUUAGCUAGUUGGUGGGGUAACGGCCUACCAAGGCGACGAUGCGUAGCCGACCUGAGAGGGUGAUCGGCCACAUUGGGACUGAGACACGGCCCAGACUCCUACGGGAGGCGGCAGUGGGGAAUAUUGCACAAUGGGGGAAACCCUGAUGCAGCAACGCCGCGUGAGUGAUGAAGGUUUUCGGAUCGUAAAGCUCUGUCUUUGAGGAAGAUAAUGACGGUACCCAAGGAGGAAGCCACGGCUAACUACGUGCCAGCAGCCGCGGUAAUACGUAGGUGGCGAGCGUUAUCCGGAUUUACUGGGCGUAAAGGGAGCGUAGGCGGAUGAUUAAGUGGGAUGUGAAAUACCCGGGCUCAACUUGGGUGCUGCAUUCCAAACUGGUUAUCUAGAGUGCAGGAGAGGAGAGUGGAAUUCCUAGUGUAGCGGUGAAAUGCGUAGA